rnacentral:rRNA from 1 species
GAGCUUGCUCCCUGAUGUUAGCGGCGGACGGGUGAGUAACACGUGGGUAACCUGCCUGUAAGACUGGGAUAACUCCGGGAAACCGGGGCUAAUACCGGAUGGUUGUCUGAACCGCAUGGUUCAGACAUAAAAGGUGGCUUCGGCUACCACUUACAGAUGGACCCGCGGCGCAUUAGCUAGUUGGUGAGGUAACGGCUCACCAAGGCGACGAUGCGUAGCCGACCUGAGAGGGUGAUCGGCCACACUGGGACUGAGACACGGCCCAGACUCCUACGGGAGGCAGCAGUAGGGAAUCUUCCGCAAUGGACGAAAGUCUGACGGAGCAACGCCGCGUGAGUGAUGAAGGUUUUCGGAUCGUAAAGCUCUGUUGUUAGGGAAGAACAAGUGCCGUUCAAAUAGGGCGGCACCUUGACGGUACCUAACCAGAAAGCCACGGCUAACUACGUGCCAGCAGCCGCGGUAAUACGUAGGUGGCAAGCGUUGUCCGGAAUUAUUGGGCGUAAAGGGCUCGCAGGCGGUUUCUUAAGUCUGAUGUGAAAGCCCCCGGCUCAACCGGGGAGGGUCAUUGGAAACUGGGGAACUUGAGUGCAGAAGAGGAGAGUGGAAUUCCACGUGUAGCGGUGAAAUGCGUAGAGAUGUGGAGGAACACCAGUGGCGAAGGCGACUCUCU